GUAGCGGUGAAAUGCGUAGAUAUUAGAGGAACACCAGUUGCGAAGGCGGCUCUCUGGACUGUAACUGACGCUGAGGCACGAAAGCGUGGGAGCAAACAGGAUUAGAUACCCUGGUAGUCCACGCUGUAAACGAUGAGUACUAGGUGUCGGGGUUACCCCCUUCGGUGCCGCAGCUAACGCAUUAAGUACUCCGCCUGGGAAGUACGCUCGCAAGAGUGAAACUCAAAGGAAUUGACGGGACCCGCACAAGUAGCGGAGCAUGUGGUUUAAUUCGAAGCAACGCGAAGAACCUUACCUAAGCUUGACAUCCCAAUGACAUCUCCUUAAUCGGAGAGUUCCCUUCGGGACAUUGGUGACAGGUGGUGCAUGGUUGUCGUCAGCUCGUGUCGUGAGAUGUUGGGUUAAGUCCCGCAACGAGCGCAACCCUUGUCUUUAGUUGCCAUCAUUAAGUUGGGCACUCUAGAGAGACUGCCAGGGAUAACCUGGAGGAAGGUGGGAUGACGUCAAAUCAUCAUGCCCCUUAUGCUUAGGCUACACACGUGCUACAAUGGGUAGUACAGAGGGUUGCCAAGCCGUAAGGCGGAGCUAAUCCCUUAAAGCUACUCUCAGUUCGGAUUGUAGGCUGAAACUCGCCUACAUGAAGCUGGAGUUACUAGUAAUCGCAGAUCAGAAUGCUGCGGUGAAUGCGUUCCCGGGUCUUGUACACACCGCCCGUCACACCACGGGAGUUGGAGACGCCCGAAGCCGAUUAUCUAACCUUUCGAAGGUGGAAUUAAUAACUGGGUGAAGUCGUAACAAGGUAGCCGUAUCGGAAGGUGCGGCUGGAUCACCUCCUUUCUA
rnacentral:rRNA from 1 species